CUAUGCUUUAACAGCAUGCCACCCUCCUGCUCAGGAAGAGGUGGCUGAUGGCAUGCUUCAGAUAUGAAGUAACUUUGGCUUAAUGCUGGGCUAUAGGGAAUUGGGGAUUUCUUUCUUUCUUUCUUUUUCUUUUUUUUUUUUUUUACAAAUUAGCAUUUUAAAUUGACAAGAAACUCUAGGCUUCCAGAUUACUAUUAUUAGUGAAAAAUGUUUAAAUACUGUGCAUUUUGAAUUAUAAUGUAUUUGAGAAAGAUUUCUGCUUUUCUUUUUCUUAAAGUUUUUGAGAAGAAAUCAUUGCAGUUUAAAAUCUACUAGUGUAGAGCUUUUAUUCUUUUACUCAUCCUCUAUGCUAAGAGAGAGAAAGAGAAAUCGAUCUAUGUAUUGGACCAUAAUGAUCAAUAUAAUGGUCUCUGAUUCAGCACGCAAGCUUCUCCCCCAGUGGUCUCUGAUUCAGCCCGCAAGCUUCUCCCCCACCUUGGUGCAACCUAUAAAUUCUUUGUCAAGAGUUUACCUCAGAGGCAUAUGCAACAAGUUGGAUUUGAACAAAUCUUAUCAAAAUGAGGGUUCAUACAUAUCAACUGAACUAAUGACAAUGUAAAUGAAUUCUCAGAAAAAUUUUUUAACAGCUUGACUUUAAAUGAUUUUAGCCCUGAAAAAUGGAGGAGCAACAUAGAUAGACUUAACGUUAUAUUGCACAACUUUGCAGAGAUUAGACACAGGGAGGGAAAGCCAGAGAUCCUACUCUUUCUGGAUCUCUAGAUCUGAAAGAAUUGAUUUUAUUCUUGAAGAAAUAGGAGAAAAACUUUUCAUUCUCCUUCAAAGAUUAUAGUGUCUCUCCCCAGUGAAUUAAUUUCAGAAAUAGAAAACUUUAAGAGCAUUUUUAAUUGAUUAAACUUGCUGACAGACAGAACUUAUCUCUGACAAGUGACAGGGAAUAAGGAUGUGGGCAUAUGACAUUUCAACUUUGAAAAAGGACCCAUAGAGGAGGUUGGAAAGGGAUGUGAGAAGCUAAUUCUCUCUCACUCAUAACAACAGGCUAAUAUCUGGAGAAAAAUGGGAAUGAAAUCAAUAUGUCUAGAUUACAUUGACAAGUGCUGUGUAAAAUCUCUCUAGUCAUAAAACAUUAAAAUAUACUAAUUUUCAGGAGAAAAUCAGAUGUAGAAGAAGAUAAAAAAUUAGGAAAGCAAAUUUCUUUUCAAUGAAGGUAUCAGGAGGAAUAAGUGGGGACAAAUUACACAGGAAGAUAUCUAAGGACCAAUUUUCUUUUUUUUUUCUUUUUCUUUUUUUUUUUUUUUUUGGAUAAGUAGGAUGUCUUUCUUUUUCUUCUCCCUCUACCCUCAAAUAAAUGAGGAAUGGCAAAGAAGUCUUUUGUGAAAAAUAUGUCAGGAGUAGGAAGAAAGAUGGGAACUCACAUAAGAACAUCUGUUCUGCAAAGCCAUUUGAAAAAAUAACUGGGUAUUAACGUGAAAGAAAAUGUGCUCAGCAUGAAACUAACCGCAAGUAAUGUGGUAGCAGGGAGGUGGAAGAGUGACACAAGGAACUUGCACCCCCACUGAGAGAGAACUUCUGAGUGUCCGAAUCCAAGUCAUCCCCUCAGUUAAUGUAAGAGGAAGUGGUGACAGACAAUAUCCAGGCAAAUUGUCUGUGAAGUGGCACAAGUUGCAACUGAAUCAAGAUCUAGAGAUGGAAAAGCCAUAUUAAAACAAAUGAAAAUGAAAAUAAAUUUUAGGGUUUUUGUUUAUUUUAUUUUGACUUUACAUGGUGCAGUGGAAACGAAUCCAACUAUGAACCAUGAGGUUAUGGGUUCAUUCCUGGCCUCACUCAGUGGGUUGAGGAUCUGGGCGUUGCCCUGAGCUGUGGUGUAGGUCGCAUGGAUCUGGCAAUGCUAUGGCUGUGGUGUAGGCCGGCACUGCAGCUCCAAUUUAACCGCUAGUGUGGGAACCUCCAUAUGCCAUGGAUGCGGCCCUAAAAAAAGACAAAAGACAAAAGACAAAAAAUAAAUAAAUUCUGUAUUUUUUAGAUGUCCCUUUUAUUUCAAUUUCACAUACUUCAGAGACAGUUUUGAACAAUUGGAGAAUAUGGUCAAAUGCUUUCAAUUGCCUAAGAUUCUGAAAAUGCUUGAUUUUUAUAUCUGGAAUUAUAAGAAUAUUAUCAAAUUUGCUAUUGUUGCCAAAAGAGACAUAGCCAGAAAGCACCUUUCACAACCUCUUUUAACUCAGGACAGUUUUAAAGUAUCUUUAUCUAACAAUUUAGUUGUUUCAGUGUUCAAGAAAGUAGUGAAAAGAGAAAUGUUUGCAAAUAUAAUCUUUUUAAAACUGAAAAAAAAAAAAACAAAACUGUCAAAAGUUGGAGUUUUGUUUGUGACUCAGCUGGUUAAGGACUGAACAUUUUCUCUGUGAGGAUGUGGUUUUGAUCCCCAGCCUUGCUCAGUGGGUUAAGGAUCUGGUAUUGCUGCAAGCUGUGGCAUGGGUUGCAGAUGUGACAGGGAUUAGCUGUUGUCAUGGCUGUGGCAUAGGCCCAAGCUGCAGCUCUGAUUCAACUCCUAGCCUC
rnacentral:lncRNA from 1 species